GCUUUGCUUGUGUAAACCGAGUCCCCUCGACAAAAAGAGCGAGCCAAAAGGGCUGGGGGAAGUCCUCUAACCGUUUAAGACCUGACUUCAAAGUUUUUUCAUCUUUGGCCCAGCUUCUUUCCAAAAAGAGAUAUUCUGUAAACCACAUUGACCAACCAAUGACUGGGAGAAAUUUCGACGACUUCUUCAUGACUGCUAACGUGCUACCAAGGCAACCGGAGCGCUGAGCUAAAAUCCACCCGACAAGCCAAUCAAUGUCGCUUCUGUGGUUACAAAUGACAAGAGCAUGCUCUUUACCCAUUGCCUGAAAAGUUUCAGUAUCUGCAUAUACUCGAAUCUUAACACCGGCCCACCAA
rnacentral:misc_RNA from 1 species